rnacentral:lncRNA from 1 species
UCCUUUUUUUCUUCUAUAUUUUCCAAACACAGAAUACGUAUAUAUAAUUUUAAAAGGAAUAAUUGCCUGUAUACCCCUCAUACGUUUGAAAAUAUUCAAUUUACCCCUACUUUUUUUUCUUUCUAAAAUACCCCUCAUAUGUUCCACCGUUAUUGCAAAAUACCCCCGCUGUUAUCUCCUGUUAAGUUAACUUGGGUUAAACGUGAGUUAAAUAUCUACCAGAGUUAAAAAAAAAUUAAAAUACCAAUUUUGCCCUUAACUUAAGGGCAAAUAAGAAAUGUUGGUGAUGGUAGAGGGGUAUAUUGGAAAAGACCAAAAGUCAAAAUACUUUUUGUGCCCUUGACUUUAAGGGCAAAUAAGAAAGUCAGUGAUAGUGGAAGGGUAUAUUUGAAAGGGCAAAAUAGUAAUUUUACAGAGAUAACAGAGUUAAUUAACAGAUUUUAACUCUAAGGAUAUAUUAGAAAUCGGUUGGAAUGUAGAAAGGGUAUUUGCAAUAUUAGCCUUCUAAGAGGGGUAAAUCGGAAAGUCAGAAACUUUUUAGGGGUAUAUAAGCAAUUGCCCUAUUUUAAAAAUACCAUAACAUAAUCUAUUAUAUAAUAUACUACAACAUAUAAUAAAUAUUAUAGUCUUAAAACGACAUCAAGAAACUUA